AUCUAUUUUAAAAGAGGAUUUUUUUUGUUAUCGUUAGGUUUUCCCUAUAUUAGUUGUUGGUGACAUUUUCAUGUUCUUUAGGCUGAUUUUUCUCAGAAUGAUCUCUACACACAUAACCUCUUUCUAAUGUGUGGCGUGAGUUGAAUACAGUAUCUUUCUGUUAACCUAAUGUGAAUAUUAGAUUGUUUUCAAAUUAUCCAUGAAUUACUUUUAUAAUCACCUCUUAUAUAUUUUUACGUGUCUUCUCUCUUACUCCAUUAUGAAUUAAGGUGAUUUAACAAAUUUAACGAUAUGGCUUACAUGAGAAGGAAAACUGAACUUUUCAACUGUCGGAACUUGAGUAGAGGGGGAUAACGGAAGGCUCUUCCGUGCUCUGCCUGUCCCGUGUGGUACUGGGGCUGCUGCUGCUUCAGCUGUCAGGGCUGACCCGUGAAACGACGCUGGCCCUGCUCUGCCACCUUUCCAGAAGUCAGUUUCCUGCUUUUUCACAUGUUUCCAGCAUUUCUCUGCUAAAGUUGAAUGUGUUUUCAUACUAAUGUAUUUUUACCUUAACAGAUGUUGGUCAGUUACUUAAUAAAUGAUGAUUUUUUUUUUUUUUUUAAUUCUGUUUUGCUGAGGCCACCCUUUCUAGAUUUCAGGGCCCAAGAGAAAACAAUGGAAGAAAGGAUUUACAAUUUUGGUGGAGGUGAACUAACUUUUUAAGCAAUUAAAAUACCUAAGUAAUCUU
rnacentral:lncRNA from 1 species